UACGGGGGGAGCAAGCGUUGUUCGGAUUUACUGGGCGUAAAGGGCGCGUAGGCGGCCAGCACAAGUCAGUUGUGAAAUCUCCGAGCUUAACUCGGAAAGGUCAACUGAUACUGUGCGGCUAGAGUGCGGAAGGGGCAACUGGAAUUCUUGGUGUAGCGGUGAAAUGCGUAGAUAUCGGAAGGAACAUCAGUGGCGAAAGCGACUUCCUGGUCCAGCAUCGACGUUCAGGCACGAAAGCGUGGGGAGCAAACAGG
rnacentral:rRNA from 1 species